CUCAUCUUCUUUCAUCUCAAUCUCUUCUGGCCGUCCGCGGUGCCGUAAAAUUAAAAGACCUCCGUCUGAUCCGUCUUACUCUGCGAGAUCUAGUUCUGCAGGUUUUAUACCUAACACCACUUGUCUUCCCCAAAACACCGAAGGAAAUCUUUCUAGUGGCGCCCCUAGCAGAUCUGCAGACAUGGUGGACGAGAUCCAAAAUUUCAGGUCUGCUAUCGAUGCAUGCAUUGAUCAUGAUGUGCCUCCGGUGGACCAGAUCGAACAUCUAAGAUACGAUGGACGAGAUCCAAAAUCUAAGUAUAAACUUGUCCUAACUACAAGUCUGCUGUCAACGCAUGCAUUGAUCAUGAUGUGCCUCCGGUGGACCAGACGAACAUCUAAAGUUUUUGUCUGCCAACAUUCUGUCUUUCUUUUCAUUUUGUUGACCAUAUCAUUUUGUGUCAAUUGCUAACAAAACAACUUGUCUACAUUGCAGGUCUGCAAAUACGGUGGACAUGAUCCAAAAUCCAAGAUUUUUGUCUACCCAGAUUAUUUCCCUAGGUUUCUUAAGUAGUCAAUAUCCCUUUGGCUUUACAUUUUGUUGUCCUUUACAAUCAAUAUAAUCUUGUCCACACUGUAGGUUUAUAGUUUAGGUGGACCAGAUCCAACAGGUAUGUCUUUACGGACAAGUUUAUCUUUGUUUAGUCCACUACAUUUCUGGUCCAUCGUACAAUUACUUUUUGUCUAUCCAUCUAUUUAGUCUAUUAAGUUCCCAAUUUUUGUUUUAAAACUAUAAGUCCAUCAAACUCACAUAUGUUUUGUCCAUCGCACAGGUUUGAAGACAUUCAACCUGACACUGGUGAACUCGCCGAGGACAACAAUGUUACUGCACAAAGAAGUCCAUCGAACUCACAUGUGUGUUGUCCAUCGCACAUGUCCGAAUCUGUUCAGCUUGACAUUGGUGAACUAGUGGAGGACAACAAACAAG